rnacentral:lncRNA from 1 species
GUUAUGGUCGCCCAUGCGCCUUACCUGGUGACCGCAGACAAGGCAGCUCUUGUGUUGUGGAACAGGAAGACACUGGAGCCCUUCUCCACUCUGAAGGAGCCACACAUAAAGAAAAUGAUCAUCUUGGCAGAAAACCAGGAAGUGUCAGGAUGGGAAGGGCUGCAUUCCCAGGGAAUCCCUCUGCAAUGGUGAGGCUGACUGUCAGGAUGGCUCGGAUGAAAAGAACUGCUCCCAGAUCUGCCAUCAACCAGGGGUCUUCCAGUGUCUGGAUGGAAGCAGGUGCAUAGAGGAGAGAUAUCACUGUGAUGGGGCUCAGCAUUGCUCUGAUGGAUCUGAUGAGCUGGACUGCUGGAGACCCGCUGAUGACUGCUCGAUGCACUGUGACAACAAGACCCGCUGUAUCCCUAAGAGUUGGAGAUGUGAUGGGAAGCCAGACUGUUUGGACAGAAGAGAUGAACAAGGAUGCUGUAAGUUCCAUGAGCCUCCC